CCUACGGGAGGCAGCAGUGAGGAAUAUUGGUCAAUGGACGAGAGUCUGAACCAGCCAAGUAGCGUGCAGGAUGACUGCCCUAUGAGUUGUAAACUUCUUUUAUAUGGGAAUAAACUGUUCCACGUGUGGGUUUUUGUAUGUACCAUAUGAAUAAGGAUCGGCUAACUCCGUGCCAGCAGCCGCGGUAAUACGGAGGAUCCGAGCGUUAUCCGGAUUUAUUGGGUUUAAAGGGUGCGUAGGUGGGUUGUUAAGUCAGUUGUGAAAGUUUGCGGCUCAACCGUAAAAUUGCAGUUGAAACUGGCAGUGUGGAGUACAGUAGAGGUGGGCGGAAUUCGUGGUGUAGCGGUGAAAUGCGUAGAUAUAACGAAGAACUCCGAUUGCGAAGGCAGCUCACUGGACUGUAACUGACACUGAGGCGCGAAAGUGUGGGUAGCAAACAGGAUUAGAUACCCCAGUAGUC
rnacentral:rRNA from 1 species